rnacentral:rRNA from 1 species
UAGGGAAUCUUCGGCAAUGGACGAAAGUCUGACCGAGCAACGCCGCGUGAGUGAAGAAGGUUUUCGGAUCGUAAAACUCUGUUGUUAGAGAAGAACAAGGACGUUAGUAACUGAACGUCCCCUGACGGUAUCUAACCAGAAAGCCACGGCUAACUACGUGCCAGCAGCCGCGGUAAUACGUAGGUGGCAAGCGUUGUCUGGAUUUAUUGGGCGUAAAGCGAGCGCAGGCGGUUUCUUAAGUCUGAUGUGAAAGCCCCCGGCUCAACCGGGGAGGGUCAUUGGAAACUGGGAGACUUGAGUGCAGAAGAGGAGAGUGGAAUUCCAUGUGUAGCGGUGAAAUGCGUAGAUAUAUGGAGGAACACCAGUGGCGAAGGCGGCUCUCUGGUCUGUAACUGACGCUGAGGCUCGAAAGCGUGGGGAGCAAACAGG